rnacentral:lncRNA from 1 species
CUGAAGAGCUGGUCUCACUCCCACUGUGCCACCUCCAACAGCACAGAGUCUGUUUCCAGGCAGCAGGCAAGCAGGGCUUGAGAACUUUCCCCAGGCUACCCGCCUCCCAGCUGUGAAAGAAAAGGACUUUAGUUCUUCCCCCACCUGUGGAAUCUGCUGGCUGGAUUCAUGCCCUCCAGCAAGUUCUGGCCAGGAGGCUUCUCACCUGGUUCAAAUUGUUACAAAGUUCAGCUGGAGACUUCCUUCUCCCUGUGGCAUUUUCCCCAUACCUCUGGACACCCUCCUGAAGGAUCCCUGUGGUGCCAGGCAUGAAUGGCCUGCUUGGGGACCCAAUGAGUUCCCAGGACCCUUCCUGCUGCUUCUUCUACCCUUGUAUUUUGCUUGGCUGUCUAAAUUGACUCAGCUCCAGCUUAAUUAUCCUCUGUGAUCCACACUAAAGUAUUUUGAAGAAUAACAAAGCUCUCCAAGGGUCUUAAUACAGCAGUCCCCGACGGGCUUUUCUGUUUCCUACCGCGUUGUGAAGGAGAUUCUUGCUGCUUCUUCGCUUUCUGCCAUGAUUGCAAGUUUCCUCCGGCCUCCCCAGCCAUGUGGAACUGAGGCCUGCAUUAUUGUUGUCGAGUUCAAAAUCAUCUUUCAAAAUCAAGAAUUGACAUCAGUUCAUUACCCACGGCAAAAGGCUUCUAAAAAGCCUAUGCAGAAUUUUUGAAGCAUGGUCUGUGAAUAUGAUGGAAUAUCACUCUCAUGAAUAGCUCCAACUCCUAAAAUGAUUGCAUUUUGUUCUGUGGAAUGUGUGGCCCAUCAAAACCAGGAUCCCUGUUUCUCCAACUCUUCUAAAGGUGAUCUUCAUCACAAAUGGCAUCAACAGAAAACACCACUUGAAACAUAGGGGAAAAAGUGGCCCCACUUCCUUCAUUGGCUAUUUUCCUUUUUUUGUUGUUGGAUCCUUUAUGCAAUAAAAUAUAUUGUAAAAGUUAUAUCUAUUAACUCUG